rnacentral:pre_miRNA from 1 species
UACAGUGAUCAGGUUACGACGGAUUUCUCUAGUAACAACCUCGUAGCUUGAUCACGAUAUC